ACAGUACAUAAACAGGAGUAACCUGAUGGUUAAACAGCUUAUUGUACUCAAAUACAACUGCUUAGACCACUAAUAUGGAAUAUUAUAUUUUAUGCAUAUUUUUGCUGUAUGUCUCAGAUCGCCCAGUAGGAUCUGCUGCAGUGUUAAAUCAGAAACAGACAGAGAUUGCACAGCUUGGAAAAUCGAUAGAGUUACGAUGUGAAACCAGUGGAUACAACAUAAAUGAUCACCACAUCCACUGGUUCAGACAGUUUUCUGGCAGCAGAACUAUGGAGUGGAUAGCAGCUUUCAAAACAGGACAAACCACCUAUAUACAGGAUCGCUUUAAAGACAGGGUUACACCAUCUACUAGUGGAUCUACUGGUCUGCUUAAGAUUGAUCAGUUGGUAGAGUCAGACACUGCCACGUACUACUGUGCUACAUACACUAUGAGGAAGUUCUGCCCAAGCACUGUCAAAAUAACCCACAAUGAUGUUCAUUCAGCUUAUGUUGUGAAGUAUCUAAAGCUAGAACUUAACUUCAUAAUUCACAAAUCCUAA